GGCACAGAACUCAAGUCUCACUGUACCCGACAGCCGGUACUGGUGGCCUCACCCUGGCCACUGUCCCCAAAGCUGGACUGUCUUCACGGUCCAUUGGUCUGGGGAAAGGGGAGGAUUUUCCCACUGGUGACCUUAUCCCCACUGGUCAGAGUGUCGCCUGCUGGGUGGCAUCCCACAACCAGGGGUGUGCAUGAAUGGGUGCCGGCCAGGUAUGCACGGGGGACGCUGGGGAAGACCUGCGUGGGAGGGGGCGCUCAGGUAGGACGUGCCUGCAGGGAGCCACUUGGCGGCCACCCAGAGCUGCUGCCCAGCAGACCAGAGGUGGUGUGUCAGGGGUGCCGAUGGCCCCCAAAGACAGUACGCUGGCCUGGGCAUUGGUCGGCUGCUGGCCUGGACUGUGAAGUGGCCGGAGGUCUGGAUCCACGCCGGUUCCCAGGCAGUGGCCGAAGAUGUGGCCGACUGUUCCCUGGCCCAGAACACAGGGCUGUGGGGCUGAGGGGUCUGGGGAGGAGGGGCUGCACGGGCCUCCGCAAGGGGGCAGAGGCCUGUGUGUCCCACGGGAGUGCCCUCCUGAGAUGCCGCAGCAAGCCGGUGGGGGGCAUGACCAGUUCAGAGGUCAUCACCUCCUUCUCGGGUCUCUCUGUGGCUUGCUCAGUGGCCCUCGGGGCAGGACGGGGCUCUGCACAGCUGAACACACACACACACACAGGGUCCCUGGGGCUAGGCCGGCCCCGGGAACUCAUCCAUCACGGAGGGCCAGAAACCGGUCCCCACGGUUUUUCCAGGUGUGGAUUUGCUUUUCCUGCCGCAGAACUUCUGUUAGCCCAUUGUCCAUGGACGCAGCAGCGUCUCCUCCGCUGCCGUGGACCCCACUCCCGCGGCGUCCUGCUGGUGCACUCAUCUUGGGACAGUGAGGCGCAGCGGGGCUUCAGGCAGGUGGCACCCAGAAGCGUUGGUCUGGUAUUGAGGCGGGAUGGCCCAGGAAGACUGGCUCACCAGGAUGAGCCAUGGUGGACUGGCCCGGGAGGGGUGGGCUGUGUGCUGGGCAGCGAUGUCCGCGCUGCCACCCGGUGGCCUGCUUUUGAACGUGGCUCUCCUUCCAGCCAGAGUCUUGGCUCUGAAGGGAGGGCUGCUCCCACCUGUGGACACAGGAUGGGAUAA
rnacentral:lncRNA from 1 species